rnacentral:rRNA from 1 species
AGUGAGGAAUAUUGGACAAUGGAUGGAAAUCUGAUCCAGCCAUGCCGCGUGCAGGAAGACGGCCCUAUGGGUUGUAAACUGCUUUUAUACGGGAGCAAUAAGGUCUACGUGUAGACUGAUGAGAGUACCGUAUGAAUAAGCAUCGGCUAACUCCGUGCCAGCAGCCGCGGUAAUACGGAGGAUGCGAGCGUUAUCCGGAUUUAUUGGGUUUAAAGGGUGCGUAGGCGGCCUUGUAAGUCAGCGGUGAAAUUUUGCAGCUUAACUGUAAAAGUGCCGUUGAUACUGUGAGGCUAGGAUUUGGUUGCUGUGGGUGGAAUGUGUGGUGUAGCGGUGAAAUGCUUAGAGAUCACACAGAAUAUCGAUUGCGAAGGCAGCUCACAAAGCCAAGAUUGACGCUGAGGCACGAAAGUGUGGGGAUCAAACAGGAUUAGAUACCCUGGUAGUCCACACUGUAAACGAUGAUAACUCGCUGUCGGCGAUAUACAGUCGGUGGCCAAGCGAAAGCGAUAAGUUAUCCACCUGGGGAGUACGACCGCAAGGUUGAAACUCAAAGGAAUUGACGGGGGCCCGCACAAGCGGAGGAACAUGUGGUUUAAUUCGAUGAUACGCGAGGAACCUUACCCGGGCUCGAACGGUGCAGGAAUAUGGUAGAGAUAUCAUAGCUAGCAAUAGUCUGUAUCGAGGUGCUGCAUGGUUGUCGUCAGCUCGUGCCGUGAGGUGUCGGCUUAAGUGCCAUAACGAGCGCAACCCUUGUCAUUAGUUACCAUCAGGUCAAGCUGGGGACUCUAAUGAGACUGCCACCGUAAGGUGAGAGGAAGGGGGGGAUGACGUCAAAUCAGCACGGCCCUUAUGUCCGGGGCGACACACGUGUUACAAUGGGGGGUACAGAGGGCAGCCAUCCGGCGACGGAGCGCCAAUCUCAAAAACCCUUCUCAGUUCGGAUUGGAGUCUGCAACCCGACUCCAUGAAGUUGGAUUCGCUAGUAAUCGCGCAUCAGCCAUGGCGCGGUGAAUACGUUCCCGGGCCUUGUACACACCGCCCGUCAAGCCAUGGAAGCUUGGGGUGCCUGAAGUUCGUGACCGCAAGGAGCGACCUAGGGCAAAACAAGUAACUGGGGCU